ACCAGACUCCUACGGGAGGCAGCAGUGGGGGAUAUUGCACAAUGGGGGGAACCCUGAUGCAGCGACGCCGCGUGGGUGAAGGAGUAUUUCGGUAUGUAAAGCCCUAUCGGCAGGGAAGAAGCAAGACGGUACCUGACUAAGAAGCCCCGGCUAACUACGUGCCAGCAGCCGCGGUAAUACGUAGGGGGCGAGCGUUAUCCGGAUUCACUGGGUGUAAAGGGAGCGUAGACGGCCAAGCAAGCCAGGGGUGAAAGCCCGGGGCCCAACCCCGGGACUGCCCUUGGAACUGCUUGGCUGGAGUGCGGGAGGGGCAGGCGGAAUUCCUGGUGUAGCGGUGAAAUGCGUAGAUAUCAGGAGGAACACCGGCGGCGAAGGCGGCCUGCUGGACCGCGACUGACGUUGAGGCUCGAAAGCGUGGGGAGCAAACAGGAUUAGAUACCCGUGUAGU
rnacentral:rRNA from 1 species